rnacentral:rRNA from 1 species
UACAGAGGGUGCAAGCGUUGUUCGGAAUUAUUGGGCGUAAAGGGAGUGUAGGCGGUUUGCUAAGUCUUCUGUGAAAGCCCAGAGCUCAACUCUGGAAUUGCCUUUGAGACUGAGUGGCUUGAGUACGGGAGAGGUGAGUGGAAUUCCCAGUGUAGAGGUGAAAUUCGUAGAUAUUGGGAAGAACACCGGUGGCGAAGGCGGCUCACUGGCCCGUAACUGACGCUCAUGCACGACAGCGUGGGGAUCAAACAGG